rnacentral:lncRNA from 1 species
UCGAGGGGCACUAUAUAUACAGGAUCACCUGCAUCCAAAACCCUACUUUUCAAACCUGUUGUCCAGACUCUGGCCGAGCGGUCCUUUGCCUCAGGUAGUUGUCCCCGUGUCCUUCCUUAGAGAGUUUUCUAGGAGCCUUCGUUGUCUUUUGUUUUUUUCUUGCUUCCUUGAAAAGCUCUUCCUUCUUCCCCUCCUUCUUUAACUUCGGUUCUAGCAUCAUGGCCAGAACCUCUCC